rnacentral:lncRNA from 1 species
AGAGUUACCUUUUCAGGUUUCUCCUCUUCCACGGCUGUUUCUUCAUGCAUCUCUUCAACUGCUAGUUCCUUGGGUGUUUCUUCAAUUACUUGUUUUUCAGGUUUCUCCUCGAUUUUUGGUUCUUCGAUUGUCUCCUCAACUGAUGGUAAUUCAAACUCUUCUCCCACGGUUGGGUUUUCAGGUUUCUCUUCAACUGUCGGUUGUUCAGCAACCAUUAGUUCUUCAAGCUUCUCCGAAACAACUGAUUCUUCAGAUUUAUCUUCAAUUGCUAAUUCUUCAUGUGUUUUUCCAAUUACUGGUUCGUCAGGUUUUUCCUCAACUGAUGCAUAG